CCACGGGUGGCAGCAGUGGGGAAUAUUUCACAAUGGGCGAAAGCCUGAUGCAGCAACUGCCCCUUAAGGAAGACGGUUUUCGGAUUGGAAACUUCCAUCCAUAGGGAGGAAAGAAAUGACGGUACCUAAAUAAGAAGCCUCGGCUAACUACCGGCCAGCAGCCGCGGUAAUACGUAGGGGGCAACCGUUAUCCGGAAUUACUGGGGGUCAAGGGUGAGUAUGCGGGAACGUCAGGGAGAUGUGAAAGCCUUAGGCUUAACCAAGGGAUUGCAUCACGUACUACCUAGCUAGAGCACAGGAGAGGAGAGCGGAAUUCCUAGUGUAGCGGUGAAAUGCGUAGAGAUGAGGAAGAACACCAGUGGCGAAGGCGGCUUUCUGGACAAAAACUGACGCUGAGGCGCGAAAGCGUGGGGAGCGAACAGGAUUAGAUACCCUUGUAGUC
rnacentral:rRNA from 1 species